CCGAUUUUUUCAAUUAGCACAAGACUAAAAAUUGGUAUAAUAUUUACUUUUCUAUAUUAUGAAUUUUGAGGCAUUUGUAAUUGAUAUUCACAUAAAAAUAUCUCUCUCUUAACAACUAGGGUUUAUGAAAUAUAUCCUAUCCACAAUCUUCCAGUCCCGGCGCUUAGAGAAGGAGAUGAAUCUAGCUAGGGUUUUGGAGAGACGUAAUGACAAAGACGAAGAGUGGUUCUGGAGGUAAAGGUAAGGGCAAAGAGGUUAUGUAAGGAGAAGGGUGUAAUAUUCAUAUCGUAGAGAAACUACUGUUAGAUGCUGGAAACCAAGAAGGUAUUAUAUAUAAUUUGAUUGUAAGAUUUUAAUGAAGAUCUUUUUAAGGAGAUAACUCAACUGUUGACAUUUGAGAACUUUAGGUACUUGUUCAUUCGUGAUUUGUUGGCAUCAUCGCGAUAAGAUGUUUGUACUUGAAUAUGUGUCGGGGACAACGAACAGCUCUCCAAGUAUGGAGAUACAAGAUCUGCACGAGCUGUUAUACUAGUUGAACUGAAGAAGCUUAUUGAGGCAAAUCCAUUUUUUGGUGACAAGCUGUAGAUAUUGAAGAUGUUUGUACUUGUUAUGAUUGUUAUUGUUAUGUGUGAAAUGACUUGUACUUGUGAAGUAUUUAAUUGGUUAUUGGAUGUUAGGCAUUUUGGUAUGAAUUGGUGGGAAUACAGUCGCAAUUGUACUUUACGGUCGAAUCAGUAGUAUUGUUAUAAUUUGUAUAAUCUUUAAUGUAAACACAAGUCAUAAUAUGAAUUGUUACCAAUUACAUUAGAA